rnacentral:tRNA from 1 species
GCCGUUGUAGCUCAGUUGGUAGAGCAGCACAUUCGUAAUGUGAAGGUCGCCAGUUCGAUUCCGGCCUGCGGCACCA